AGGCCAAUCAAACUUCGUGAUAGCUGGUUCUCUCCGAAAUAUAUUUAGGUAUAGCCUUGUGUUGUAGCAUAUAGGGGUAGAGCACUGAAUGGGCUAGGGCUGCUUACCGCGGUACCAAACCCUAUCAAACUAUGAAUACUAUAUGUGGAAUCACAGGAGUCAGGCGGUGGGUGAUAAAAUCCGUCGUCGAGAGGGGAACAACCCAGACUAACAGCUAAGGUCCCUAAGUUACAUCUAAGUGGAAAACGAUGUGGAGUUACUGUGACAACCAGGAGGUUGGCUUAGAAGCAGCCAUCCUUUAAAGAAAGCGUAACAGCUCACUGGUCUAGUGAUUCUGCGCGGAAAAUAUAACGGGGCUAAGAUGUGCACCGAAGCUUUAGAUUCGAAUUUAUUCGAGUGGUAGGAGAGCGUUCUAUUCAGCGUUGAAGAUGUACCGGCAAGGAGCGUUGGAGCGGAUAGAAGUGAGCAUGCAGGCAUGAGUAGCGAUAAUUGAGGUGAGAAUCCUCAACGCCGAAAACCCAAGGUUUCCUACGCGAUGCUCGUCAUCGUAGGGUUAGUCGGGUCCUAAGUCGAGUCCGAAAGGGGUAGACGAUGGCAAAUUGAUUAAUAUUUCAAUACCAACAUACAAGCGCGAUGUGGGGACGCAUAGAGUUAAUCGAGCUCACUGAUGGAAUAGUGGGUCGAAGGACGUAGGUUGUUAAGUAGGCAAAUCCGCUUAACGUUAGACCGAGAUCUUACAGGCUCUUGACACUCUUCGGAGGAGAUGGAGAAUCGAUGAUACUGUCGUGCCAAGAAAAGCCACUAAGUAUAUUGUAUGUUGCCCGUACCGUAAACCGACACAGGUGGGUGGGAUGAGUAUUCUAAGGCGCGUGGAAGAACCCUGGUUAAGGAACUCUGCAAACUAGCACCGUAUCUUCGGUAUAAGGUGUGCCUACUUUGGUAUAUGGACUUGCUCCAAAAAGCUAGAGAGGUUGCAACAAAGAGUCCCUCCCGACUGUUUACCAAAAACACAGCACUUUGCUAACACGUAAGUGGAUGUAUAAGGUGUGACGCCUGCCCGGUGCUCGAAGGUUAACUGAUGAUGUCAGCGCAAGCGAAGCAUUUGAUUGAAGCCCGAGUAAACGGCGGCCGUAACUAUAACGGUCCUAAGGUAGCGAAAUUCCUUGUCGGUUAAAUACCGACCUGCAUGAAUGGCGUAACGAGAUGGGAGCUGUCUCAACCAGGGAUCCAGUGAAAUUGUAGUGGAGGUGAAAAUUCCUCCUACCCGCGGAAAGACGGAAAGACCCCGUGCACCUUUACUACAGCUUGACACUGUAGCUUGGAUAUUCAUGUGCAGGAUAGGUGGGAGGCUAUGAUGACUAGACGCAAGUAGAGUCGGAGCCAUCCUUGAGAUACCACCCUUGAAUAUUUGAGUUACUAACUGCGAUGAGUUAUCCUCAUUCAGGACAAUGUCUGGUGGGUAGUUUGACUGGGGCGGUCGCCUCCUAAAUAGUAACGGAGGCUUACAAAGGUUAGUUCAAAGCGGUUGGAAAUCGCUUGUUGAGUAUAAUGGCAUAAACUAGCUUGACUGUGAGACAUACAAGUCGAACAGAGACGAAAGUCGGUCAUAGUGAUCCGGUGGUUCUGUGUGGAAGGGCCAUCGCUCAAAGGAUAAAAGGUACGCCGGGGAUAACAGGCUGAUCUCCCCCAAGAGCUCACAUCGACGGGGAGGUUUGGCACCUCGAUGUCGGCUCAUCGCAUCCUGGGGCUG
rnacentral:rRNA from 1 species